GUGACCCGACGCCGGAAAAGAAACGAGACGACUCCAGAGAUGGAAGGUGGCUUGGUUCGUCCCCGAAGACUCGACACCGAUCGACGAGAAGAAGGCCUCUUGGUGCAACGCCGACCCGGCGAGACGCCAGAAGAGUUUACCAAAAGACGUAACCUUUGUUAUGGUAAACGCAUGGCGGA
rnacentral:ribozyme from 1 species